CCCACCCCCGCCACCGCCCUCCCUCCUCCUUCCUCUCAAGCCUUUUGGAAUACGUGCAAAACACUUCCAAGUACAGAAUGUACUUUUCUUCAGUGCAGUCAAUUUUUCCUAAUGACCAUUUGUAUAAACCUUGGUAAUGUUGAGAACAGAGAAUUCUUGCAGCAAUAUAAAUAGCUUGCAAGGACUCUGCGCUUGACCCCCACCGCACCAAGGGAAUAAGUGUUUGUAAUUACUGUAUUCUGGUAGGGGCCCACAACCAACAGACUCUGACACGGCCACUCCUGUUUCCUUUGGCCGGUCAACAGUUCCAGCACUGAGGCCCAGCCAACACUGAGCUGAUGGUCGGGGCCACUCUGGGGCUGGUUGUGUUGUCUCCUGCUAGACAACACAGCCCAUGCUCACCAAGGAGUAUGUUAUCAAGAUAAGAUUGUCCAUAAGAAAAGCAUCACUAAAUUAAAAUGUAGAAAAUAGGAAGUCCACCCACAGCUAAAUGACGUGUCCUCAAGGACUGUGUGCCUCUCAGCUCUGGUUUGGGAUAAGCCUGUGGAAACGCCCCAAGGGAAACAAUAUUCUGGGCUACUCAGAUGACAGCCUCAGUAUAAACAUAAAUUUCCUGAAAAUCCAGAUAAUACUUUUUGUUCUACCAUUUUCUCCUUCUAAUCAGGGUUAGUUAGGUUCACCGAAAAACACAACAUUCUCGGCCUUCACACUUUCUACAUUUUCUUCUCCCCAAACCCACUCACUCCCUAGUGGCCUGUACGAACUUUUUUAGCCAACACUGGACAGAUUCCCACUGCUUUGAUGGGAGCAGCUCAACGCAGAAUGAUUACCUUUCGUUAGCAUGAUAACGUGGGGUUGAAGCAGUGGCUCAUAAUUCUCCAGAAGACUACAUCUUUCUGUGAUGAUCUGGUUCUGGGGGUGCCACCACAGGACACACUCAGGAUCUGGAGAAGAUGUCCUUCUGUCAUCAUUCCCUCUGUCCUGAGCUCCUGUCAAGCAUUUUUCAUCAUCUCCAUGGGCAAUGGGCCACAGGGGGCUCCCUGAUUCUCUUGCACCAGAGUGUCCUUCUAUCAUCAUGCUCCUGCGCCACACAACUGAAGUGCUCUCCAGUUAGAGUAUGGCUAUUCUACGGUGAUAGACUACACUCCUAUUUAAUAGGAUUUGGCAAGAAAAAUAUGGAGAGACUAAAAGGAAAAAUAAACUGCUUUCACUGGAGAUACAUCUAA
rnacentral:lncRNA from 1 species